GAUGAAGAACGUAGCGAAAUGCGAUACGUAAUGUGAAUUGCAGAAUUCAGUGAAUCAUCGAGUCUUUGAACGCACAUUGCGCCCUCUGGUAUUCCGGAGGGCAUGCCUGUCCGAGCGUCAUUGCUGCCCUCAAGCACGGCUUGUGUGUUGGACCCCGCCCCCCGAUCCCGGGGGGCGGGCCCGAAAGGCAGCGGCGGCACCGCGUCCGGUCCUCGAGCGUAUGGGGCUUUGUCACCCGCUCUGUAGGCCCGGCCGGCGCUUGCCGAUCAACCAAACUUUUUUCCAGGUUGACCUCGGAUCAGGUAGGGAUACCCGCUGAACUUAAGCAUAUCAAUAAGCGGAGGA
rnacentral:misc_RNA from 1 species